AUGACGACAAUGGUGAUGAGUAUGAUGAUGAUGGUGGAGAUGAUGAUGAUGUUGGGAUGGAGGGCAUGAAGAUGCUGGGGGAUGAAGAUGAUGGGGGAUGGCAGCAGGAAGAAAGAAGAAACCUGUACUGAACACCUACCUUGUUACAGGUUAGGCUCUGCUCUAGAAGUUUUCCGGGCACUAUCGUACUGAAUCCUCAUUUUCACCAUAUUGUUUGCCCAUUUCACAGAUGAGGAACCAGAGACUCAGAAACAUUUAGUGACUUACCCAAGAUCAUACAUUCAUACAUCACACUUCCAGGUCUGUCCAACUGUGGGACAUUAGCUCUCAACCUGAACCAUUCUUAGUGAGUGAGCGGCAGACAAAGCUGUUCCAGAACCCAAGAUGGGGCCUCUACCCAGAAAGAACUUUUUCUGACCCACCAUUCUCUGCAGCUUCCUAAUCCACUCUUGAUUCAUCCACUCAGCCUUGGGGCUGGGGACACUGGAGUGGCUCACAUAGUUCCUUUCCCCCAGGGACCUUUGGACGGUGUCAAGUAAGUUGAGGAGAGUGCCGCAUGAACAAUGAACCACAAAACUAGGUGAUGAGAACCACUCUCAAGGCCAUGGGAGCAUCAAGAGCGACCCUCAUUCCUCCAGAGACAGGCACGGAAAGCUUCGCAGAAGUGACUUUGGGCUGGUUUCAAGGAAGGAAUAGAAGUGUGAGGAUAAAGUGAGUGUCCGAGAGCACUGCCUGAGGGAAAGCAUGAGGGAGGAGAAGAAAAUUUGUCCAGAGAAGGAGGUGGCCAGAGUAGAGGGACUCUGGAGAGGUAGGAAGGGGUUGGCUUAUGAAAGGGAAAGGGCCCUGAAGGCCAACCGAGGCAAUCUGGACUUUUCCCAGAGGCAGUGGAGAGCCACGAAGAUUCCAGAGGGGGAGCAGGAUGGUCAGAUCACAGCAGAUAAGACGGGUCUAGAAGGUGAGUGACGAGGAACCAGCCCAGGACCCCAGUGGGCCCCCAGGAUUCAGAAAUGAAAUCUGCCUUGGAAUUCCAGAAUACACCCUAGGCUUCUCAAACAUCCCCGAGAUUCUGAACUGGAGCCCAGAGUUCCAGAACAAGCCUAGAAUUUCAAAAUCUGUCGUCGAAUUCCAGCAUACUUUCCCCACGGUCCAGAACACACUCUAGCUAGCCAAAGACUACCGCCUCGUUUCCGGCAGUCAGGGCGCGCUCUGCAGGCAGCUCCACCAAACUCUAAAACACACCCCUAGAUAGACAUACGCUUAAAUUCUCAUCUCCCUCUUGUGACGGUUCUUCCCAGAAGCUGGUUUUCUGUCUGAACCCCAGGACUGUGCAGCACUCGUGCUGA
rnacentral:lncRNA from 1 species